rnacentral:rRNA from 1 species
AACGAACGCUGGCGGCAGGCUUAACACAUGCAAGUCGAACGCCCCGCAAGGGGGGUGGCAGACGGGUGAGUAACGCGUGGGAAUCUACCCAUCCCUACGGAACAACUCCGGGAAACUGGAGCUAAUACCGUAUACGCCCUUAGGGGGAAAGAUUUAUCGGGGAUGGAUGAGCCCGCGUUGGAUUAGCUAGUUGGUGGGGUAAAGGCCUACCAAGGCGACGAUCCAUAGCUGGUCUGAGAGGAUGAUCAGCCACAUUGGGACUGAGACACGGCCCAAACUCCUACGGGAGGCAGCAGUGGGGAAUAUUGGACAGUGGGCGCAAGCCUGAUCCAGCCAUGCCGCGUGAGUGAUGAAGGCCUUAGGGUUGUAAAGCUCUUUCACCGAUGAAGAUAAUGACGGUAGUCGGAGAAGAAGCCCCGGCUAACUUCGUGCCAGCCGCCGCGGUAAAAC